GACGAACGCUGGCGGCGUGCCUAAUACAUGCAAGUCGAACGCAGUUGCGAAGGGGUGAGUACCGCGUAGGUAACUUCCUCAAAGCAGGGGAUAACUGUUGGUAUCGAUAGCUAAUACCGCCUACUUUGGGAUGGAUCUGCGUUGUAUUAGCUAGUUGGUGAGGUAAAGGGUGACCAAGGCGCCGAUACAUAGCCGACCUGGGAGGGUGGACGGCCACACAUGGAAUGGGAAACGGGCCAAACCCCCAACGGAGGUAGCAGUAGGGGAUCUUUGGCAAUGGGAGGAAGUCUUGACGAGGAAAGGCCGCGGAGUGAAGAAGGUUUUCGGGGCGUAAAACUCUGUUGUUAGAGGAGCGGUAACUAACCAGAAAGCGACGGCUAACUACGUGCCAGCAGCCGCGGUAAUAC
rnacentral:rRNA from 1 species